rnacentral:rRNA from 1 species
AUUGAACGCUGGCGGCGUGCCUAAUACAUGCAAGUAGAACGCAGUUGCGAACGGGUGCGUAACGCGUAGGUAACUGACUCAUAGUGGGGGAGAACUAUUGGUAACGAUAGCGAAUACUGCAUACUGUGAGAUGGACUUGCGUUGUAUCAGCUAGUUGGUGAGGUAAAGGCUCACCAAGGCGACGGUACAUAGCCGAACUGAGAGGGUGAGCAGCAACACUGGGGCUGAGACACGGCCCAGACUCCUACUGGGGGCAGCAGUCGGGAAUCUUCGGCAAUGGACGGAAGUCUGACCUAGCCACGCCGCGUGAAGGAAGAAGGUUUUCUGAUCGUAAAGCUCUGUUGUUAGAGGAGCGGUAACUAACCAGAAAGGGACGGCUAACUACGUGCCAGCCGCCGCGGUAAUAC